CAUUUCUUCCUGAUGUAACUAUGUUUUAAUUAGCAACAGGUAAUGGCCUUACGGAAGAGUGGAGUUCAGCUUUUACCUACCAUGGUCUAAGGACCCUCCCUUCAACCUCUAUAGCCUUUUUCCAGGAAUCUUGGAUAGGACUGGAUGUACAUUACAAAACGCUGCAUCUCUGGUGCAAUGUCUGGACGUAGACAACAGAGAAGAAGGGUGUUCUCUUUCUUCUUUUUGAGGUCCAAGAGAAAUGAAGAGUGGCAGGAAGACAGUGGAUGCUCUGAGGGAUGCUGAAUUGCUUACACAUUGCAGAGCUUCAGAAGGUGCCCCCCCCCAAGGAUCUCAACCAUGGUUUCCUUAACCCUGGAAGUACCAUUGUAUCCUAAAUCGAAAAGGAGGAAAGAACUGGCUCCAUUGUAACUGCCUGGUAAAGAUGUAGGGUUGAGUGUGGCAUUAGGAUAAUUGAGGGAGAGAUUUGGAAUGAUCUGACACAUGUGGUGGAGGAAGCAGGGAAACCAAUACUGGGACGGGUAGGGAAUGGGGAAGCGAGCAAGGCAACUAAUAAGGAAAGGGAGAAAGCCAGGAGAGGAUCUGGGUGUGUCUUUCGAGUGUUGGGUGUGUUUUCUCUCCAGGAGUUAGUAUGUAUAUGUGCGUGACAGAGUUUGUGGGUGGGAAAUGAGUGCUUGGCUCAUGCAAUUUGUAUGCUGGGAAUGUGGGGUGAGAGAGGUGGGGAGGGGUGAUUCUGCACGAGAAGGAGAUCUGCUCAAAACAGAGUUUGUGUUUUGUGGCUCAGUCUUGUAUGGAGGAUCUUAAGCACAUCAAUUUUGGGGGGGGGGUCACUAGCUUGCCUUCUGUGAAAUGGGUUUCUACUGGAGCUGAAAACUGAGCGUUUAAGGAAGUACUUUGCUGUUCUGAGGCUCUUGCCGUCCUUUGGCUUGUAUUUGGAUUCUUGGACAAGAUUUAACAUUCAGGCUCUGUUUGUACAACACACCAAACCACAAACUAGCUAAGUACAUUUUAGCCUUGUGAUCUGAGUGA